CGCNAGGAGCGCAAUCCCCUAUUUGUUAGUUGCCAUCAUUUAAGUUGGCACUUCUAGCGAGACUGCCGGUGACAAACCGGAGGAAGGUGGGGAUGACGUCAAAUCAUCAUGGCCCUUAUGUCCAGGGCAUACACACGUGCAUACAAUGGCGGUGACAGUGGGAAGCGAAGGGGUGACCCGGAGCUAAUCUCCAAAAGCCGUCUCAGUUCGGAUUGCACUCUGCAACUCGAGUGCAUGAAGUUGGAAUCGCUAUAAUCGCGGAUCAGCAUGCCGACGGUGAUA
rnacentral:rRNA from 1 species